rnacentral:rRNA from 1 species
GUAUCCGGCCGGAUUAGUCUCUUGCUAAAUCUGGCAGCUUAACUGUCAGGCUUUCAGGAGAUACUGUCUGGCUCGAGCCCGGGAGAGGUGAGAGGUACUUCAGGGGUAGGGGUGAAAUCUUGUAAUCCUUGAAGGACCACCAGUGGCGAAGGCGUCUCUCCAGAACGGACCUUACGGCAAGGGACGAAAGCUAGGGGCACGAACCGGAUUAGAUACCCGGGUAGUCCUAGCCGUAAACGAUACUCGCUAGGUGUCGGCAACGGUGCGACCGUUGUCGGUGCCGUA